UUCCAGCCAAGGCCCCAUGGCCGGCCCCAGGCUGGUUACCUGUGAGGCAGCAUCACAAUGUGCUCCUGGGACACCCGACAGAUGUUUUUCGGAGCUGGCACCAGACUCUUCGUGGAGCCUCGAAGUCAGGCUCCUGCCAAACCAUCCGUUUUCAUCAUGAAGAAUGAAACAAAAGUUGCAUGCCUGGUGAAGGAUUUCUAUCCCAAGACUAUAAAUAUUAAUUUCAAAUCAUCUAAGAAAAUAGAAGAAUUAGGCUCUGCUGUUGUGAUCUCUCCCAGCGGGAAGUACAGUGCAGUCAAGCUUGGUCAGGGCGAAGACUCAAACUCAGUGACAUGUUCUGUUGAACACAACAAUGAAAUCGUGCACUCCACUGACUUCGAAUCAAAGACAGAUUCUUCAGAAAGUGUAAAACCAACUGCAAAACCAACAGAACCUGCAAAACCAACAAAACCUGCAAAACCAACAGAACCUGCAGUCAUAAAGCAAACUACUGUGAUCCAGCACCAUAGCUAUAAUCACCAAAAACCUAAAGCCACAGUUCACAUGGAGACGGUGAACAUGAUGUCCCUCACGGUGUUGGGUCUCCGAAUAUUGUUCGCCAAGAGUGUUGCCAUCAACUUCCUGCUGACUGUCAAGUUGUUUUUCUUUUAAGGCUGAUGGUGUGUCUUGAGAAGGACAUAUAAUCCCUGAAAGAAACCAAAAGCCUACAGAAGUGUUAUUUCCUAGGCUUCCAGCUUCCAACAGAUUCAAAUGACCUACCUUAAUUUUGCUUUCAAUGACUACUACCUGAACCAGAUUUCCUUCAAAAGCAGCAAACCCAGCUCAUCAUCCAACCUAGUAGAAAGAAAAGGGUCCUAGUGGGUGGGGUAGGGGAGAUGGAGGGCAUGACCCUAACUACUUUAUGUGCUGUUUUAGAAAGAGAUGUAAGGGGUCGGGUGGUGGUGCACCUGAUUGAAUGCACAUGUAACAGUGUGUAAGGACCCAGGUUCAAGCCCCCAGUCCCCACCUGCAGAGGAAAGCUUCACAAGUGGUAAGGCAGGGCUGCAGGUGUCUCUCUGUCUCUUUCUCUAUCACGCCCUUCCCUCUCAACUUCUGGCUGUUUCUGUCCAAUAAAUAAAUAAAGAUAAUUUUUAAAAAAUUUUAAAAAGAGAUGUAAAAACACAAAGGGAUAUGGAACUCGCUUUUUUUCUUUAAUUCCUACGACUGAUGACUUUGAAAACAGAGUUCUGUUCCUUUGAUACUCUUUGUCUCUGAAGUACAAAGUACAAGCCAACAAGUUUCCAGCUCCCUUAUCUAAGAGGAUAAUGGACUUGGGGCAAAUAGAUCAGGUAGGUGUUUUUCACCUGCAUGUGCAAGGCUGGCUUCAUCAUCCAUCACUAGGUUUUGCCCCAAGCUACCAUUAUUGUCCUCCUCUUUUUGUGAUCUGUCCCAUCUUUGUUUACUCCAGGAGCCAUUGUGCAAGAGGGAGCAGAUGGCACAGAAGUGCUUCCUGCUUUUUCUGGAACUUUACUAACCAACUUACACUUAACUCCCCUUUUAUUCUCCUAACAGGCAAUAAGGUGUCUAAAAUCUCAUCUAAAAUACUCCUCAGGCUCUUAGCAGAGAUCAGAGUAUCAUAAAGAGAAAAAGAACAUCACUCUACUAAUUGAUUUAAUGAACAUGAAUUAAUUUAUGAAUUAAUUAAUUACAUGUUUUAAUGAACUCACCCUCUGAGUUCCAGGCACUGGAACUGGACUGAGGGUGUAAAGAUGACUGAGAGUAGUUGCCUUGCUUCCAAGUAACUCACUGUGCAGGUGCUUUUUUGUUUGCUUUUUUGUUUGUUUGGGGGAAGGCAGCUAGAAGUGAGACCCUAGAAUUCCCCUAUGAUCAUCAUCAUCAUCUUCUUCUUCUUCUUUUCUUCUUCUUCUUCUUUCUCUCUCUAUCCAUCUCCCUUUCUCUCUCUCUCUCUCUCUCUCUCUCUCUCUAUCUAUCUCUCUCUUUUUCUCUCCUCAGCACAUGGGAAGUUUGCAGUUGCCAACACUUGCCUGAGUCCUUAACGUCGACAGUUUUCUGCCAUUCUCUAAAGUUGUCCCUGUUUUGUUUAUUAAAGCAUGUUGUAUGAUCACCUUUGAUUGUAUUCAUUGUGGACCACCACAGCAAUAAUAAGUACGUGCUAUAUAAUAAUAAGUGAACUAACACUGUGAGUCAGACAAUAACCACACUGAGCUUAAAGGUCUCACCUCUCAGCUUCCUGGCCUCACAGCACCACUGCAGGCUUGGGGCCUAGCCUGGGUUUCCCGCUGUCACUGUUACAACAACAACAACAGCCUCAGUGGCCUCUGUGUGCCCCUGCUCUGUGCUCUCCCACACCUCAGCCAGGCCGCAGCUUUUCACAGGUACACACCCUCAGGUAGCAAAGCC